UACGUAGGGGGCUAGCGUUAUCCGGAUUUACUGGGCGUAAAGCGCCCGUAGGCGGCCUGACAAGUUGGACGUGAAAGCUCCCGGCUCAACUGGGAGAGGUCCUUGGAUACUGGCGGACUUGAGGGAGGCAGAGGAAAGUGGAAUUCCCGGUGUAGUGGUGAUAUGCGUAGAUAUCGGGAGGAACACCAGUGGCGAAGGCGGCUUCUGGGCCUUACCUGACGCUGAGACGCGAAAGCGUGGGGAGCGAACCGG
rnacentral:rRNA from 1 species